rnacentral:rRNA from 1 species
GAUGAACGCUGGCGGCGUGCCUAAUACAUGCAAGUCGAGCGAACGGACGAGAAGCUUGCUUCUCUGAUGUUAGCGGCGGACGGGUGAGUAACACGUGGAUAACCUACCUAUAAGACUGGGAUAACUUCGGGAAACCGUAGCUAAUACCGGAUAAUAUUUUGAACCGCAUGGUUCAAAAGUGAAAGACGGUCUUGCUGUCACUUAUAGAUGGAUCCGCGCUGCAUUAGCUAGUUGGUAAGGUAACGGCUUACCAAGGCAACGAUGCAUAGCCGACCUGAGAGGGUGAUCGGCCACACUGGAACUGAGACACGGUCCAGACUCCUACGGGAGGCAGCAGUAGGGAAUCUUCCGCAAUGGGCGAAAGCCUGACGGAGCAACGCCGCGUGAGUGAUGAAGGUCUUCGGGUCGUAAAACUCUGUUAUUAGGGAAGAACAUAUGUGUAAGUAACUGUGCACAUCUUGACGGUACCUAAUCAGAAAGCCACGGCUAACUACGUGCCAGCAGCCGCGGUAAUACGUAGGUGGCAAGCGUUAUCCGGAAUUAUUGGGCGUAAAGCGCGCGUAGGCGGUUUUUUAGUCUGAUGUGAAAGCCCACGGCUCAACCGUGGAGGGUCAUUGGAAACUGGAAAACUUGAGUGCAGAAGAGGAAAGUGGAAUUCCAUGUGUAGCGGUGAAAUGCGCAGAGAUAUGGAGGAACACCAGUGGCGAAGGCGACUUUCUGGUCUGUAACUGACGCUGAUGUGCGAAAGCGUGGGGAUCAAACAGGAUUAGAUACCCUGGUAGUCCACGCCGUAAACGAUGAGUGCUAAGUGUUAGGGGGUUUCCGCCCCUUAGUGCUGCAGCUAACGCAUUAAGCACUCCGCCUGGGGAGUACGACCGCAAGGUUGAAACUCAAAGGAAUUGACGGGGACCCGCACAAGCGGUGGAGCAUGUGGUUUAAUUCGAAGCAACGCGAAGAACCUUACCAAAUCUUGACAUCCUUUGACAACUCUAGAGAUAGAGCCUUCCCCUUCGGGGGACAAAGUGACAGGUGGUGCAUGGUUGUCGUCAGCUCGUGUCGUGAGAUGUUGGGUUAAGUCCCGCAACGAGCGCAACCCUUAAGCUUAGUUGCCAUCAUUAAGUUGGGCACUCUAAGUUGACUGCCGGUGACAAACCGGAGGAAGGUGGGGAUGACGUCAAAUCAUCAUGCCCCUUAUGAUUUGGGCUACACACGUGCUACAAUGGACAAUACAAAGGGCAGCGAAACCGCGAGGUCAAGCAAAUCCCAUAAAGUUGUUCUCAGUUCGGAUUGUAGUCUGCAACUCGACUACAUGAAGCUGGAAUCGCUAGUAAUCGUAGAUCAGCAUGCUACGGUGAAUACGUUCCCGGGUCU